rnacentral:sRNA from 1 species
GGGGAUCUCAGCGCCAUUGCUGCAGAUCCUCGAUUUCAUGAGUGGGAGAGGGGGGACAGUCAGAGAAAAGUAUGGGGGCCUGUAGUUAACGGGACACGAGUCUCAGGAGUAGAACCCAACCAGCUCUCAUCUCUCACUCUUCCUCUCUCUCCUACGCGAGCCCUCUCAUCUCUCACUCUUCCUGUUUCUGUCCUCCUCAAACCAUAGCAGCCACAGCUCCAUCUCUUCCGUUUCUCUCAUCCUAGAACAGAAGAAAUAUGGAAAAUCAGGGCUUUUUCAUUUGCUUCCACAGAUUUCUCGAGCUCCGGAUCGCUAGCCUCCAUAUGAAGGAAACGUUUAUCUUCUAAUUUUAGGGUUUUGUUUUGGGAGUUUGCAAACGCUUUCUGGGUCAGAAUUCAAAGAUUGUUGAGGAAUGGAUAUGGCUACGGCUUAGUUGUGAAUUAGUGGUGCAGCGGCAACUCCUAAGUUGCUAUUUAGUCAUGGCCUCCUGAGAUGAAAGAGCCAUGGGCGUGCAUGGCUGCUACUGUGUUUGCUUAGUGUGAGAGGCUGAUUUGCUUUUGGAAUUCUGGCCAAAUAGCCCCUUUAGACAAGAUAGUUGAAUUGAAGGAGAAAUAUAAGUUUCAUGUGUUAUUGGAUGAGAGUAACUCAU